GCCGGGCAUGGUGGUGCGUGCCUGUAGUCUCAGCUAUUUGGGAGGCUGAGGUGGGAGGAUCACUUGAGCCCACCAAGCUCAUAGGGCUGUAGUGCGCUAUGCUGAUCAGGUGUCUGCACUAAGUUUGGCAUUGAUAUGGUGACCUCCUGGGAGCGGGGGACCCCCAGGUUGCUUAAGGAGGGGUGAACCGGCCCAGGUCGGAAACGGAGCAGGCCAAAACUCCCGUGCUAAUCAGUAGGGGGAUUGUGCCUGUGAAUAGCCACUGCACUCCAGCCUGGGCAACAUAGUGAGACCCCCGUCUCU
ensembl:misc_RNA Metazoa_SRP Metazoan signal recognition particle RNA